GGAUCAAUAUGUCGGUCGUGCCAUCGGUACGUACUGGUAUCAUUGGUUUCUCCUUUCUGACGAACCAUGAUGUCAUUAAUUUGGUGUUAUGGGGAGUUAGGACUGUUACUUUGAAAAAAUUAGAGUGUUUAAAGCAGGCUUACGCUUGAAUACAUUAGCAUGGAAUAAUGAAAUAGGACGUUUGAUUCUAUUUUGUUGGUUUCUAGGAUCGACGUA
rnacentral:rRNA from 1 species